rnacentral:rRNA from 1 species
AGUGAACGCUGGCGGUAGGCCUAACACAUGCAAGUCGAACGGCAGCACAGUAAGAGCUUGCUCUUACGGGUGGCGAGUGGCGGACGGGUGAGGAAUACAUCGGAAUCUACUUUUUCGUGGGGGAUAACGUAGGGAAACUUACGCUAAUACCGCAUACGACCUACGGGUGAAAGCAGGGGAUCUUCGGACCUUGCGCGAUUGAAUGAGCCGAUGUCGGAUUAGCUAGUUGGCGGGGUAAAGGCCCACCAAGGCGACGAUCCGUAGCUGGUCUGAGAGGAUGAUCAGCCACACUGGAGCUGAGACACGGUCCAGACUCCUACGGGAGGCAGCAGUGGGGAAUGUUGGACAAUGGGCGCAAGCCUGAUCCAGCCAUACCGCGUGGGUGAAGAAGGCCUUCGGGUUGUAAAGCCCUUUUGUUGGGAAAGAAAAGCAGCAGGUUAAUACCCCGCUGUUCUGACGGUACCCAAAGAAUAAGCACCGGCUAACUUCGUG